rnacentral:rRNA from 1 species
GACGAACGCUGGCGGCGUGCUUAACACAUGCAAGUCGAACGGUAAGGCCCUUCGGGGUACACGAGUGGCGAACGGGUGAGUAACACGUGGGUGAUCUGCCCUGCACUUCGGGAUAAGCCUGGGAAACUGGGUCUAAUACCGGAUAGGACCACUGCCUGCAUGGGUGGUGGUGGAAAGCUUUUGCGGUGUGGGAUGGGCCCGCGGCCUAUCAGCUUGUUGGUGGGGGGAUGGCCUACCAAGGCGGCGACGGGGAGCCGGCCUGAGAGGGUGAACGGCCACACUGGGACUGAGAUACGGCCCAGACUCCUACGGGAGGCAGCAGUGGGGAAUAUUGCACAAUGGGCGCAAGCCUGAUGCAGCGACGCCGCGUGAGGGAUGACGGCCUUCGGGUUGUAAACCUCUUUCAGCACCGACGAAGCGCAAGUGACGGUAGGUGCAGAAGAAGGACCGGCCAACUACGUGCCAGCCGCCGCAGUAA